CCUGGCGGCCUCCCUGGCGGCGGCGGCGGCGGGCGCCGCCGGAGCCCUAGGGAGGAAGCUACUUCCUGGAGGGGGCGCACACUCCCCUGAGAUCGCCCUUUACCUGACCUGAAGUCUUUUCUUGCCUCUCAGCCGGGGGAGUGGGGUACCUCUCUAUCCUACCCCAGAGGGAUGCCGGUCGCCUGAGGAGCCCCCAGCCCAGUCCUCAGUGGUCCUCACCUUGCACAUUUCUUAACCCCACAAAGCCCCUAAUCCCGAGGAGCCUUGGACCCGUUUCCGCAAGAAGUUUCUUCCUUUCAUCCAUCCCCAGGAGUGCCCCGUUUAAACUCCUUCUGAGCCUCCCUCGCCCCUAACUCCUUGUCCCAGGUCUAACCCGAGGAGUCCCCUAGCCGCCACCCCGGGGACCCAGCCCCUCCUCUCCAACUGCUUUCCUCUGCAGGCCUCGCCAAUGCUUGCUAAACAGCUUUGUGCUCCUUGAGACCCUCAUCUUCGUGGGGCGAGAGACCCUUCCUCCUUGGGUCACCCGAUCCACCCGACUCUCUUCCUUUGAGCGGCGUGGAGGCAGAGGGUGUGUGAAGGAAACCUCUUGGCUUCCACCUGUCUUUCGUGCCCUUCCCUUUCUGUAUCGGAAACAGAAGCCAGAAUGUCUCACCCCUGGAUUUGGGGGAAGAAGGGGGCUGAGGGUGACCACAAGAAGCGUUUAAUGAUGUACAACUGUAUUGGCUGCUAGAAUACAAAGCACUUAGAGAGUUCUGUAACUUCAGGUUUGCAAGCAGUUUCGACAUACCUUGUUUCAUUCUUUCGAGAGGGCGUAGCAAAAGAUUUGGUUCAAGAAGGGUUAAGUUUUGUUCGGGAAUGUGAAUGCUAGUUGUGCUUUUAAUAGUCAAAACUGGAGUUUCCAGAUAAAGAGGGCACCUCUGAAUUUAAUGACCAGACGUCACAUCUUGUAGGUCUCUGUACCGUGAAGAUCCUGGAAACAAGGCGUUCUCUCACAAGGAUUUCCCUGAGGUGCUACAUCUCAGGGAUCACAGAGCUUGUGAGGAAUAAUCUAUUGAAACAUCAACACUGCCAAUCUGGCUGGAGCCAGAGUGUACGAAGAUAACUCACUUUUUAUCGUGUGCUUAUUAUGUGCCAGGUAGUGUUCUAAAUUCUCCGUGUUCCAAGUUCCUAGCUAGGGAAUUGAUCCUUCUCCAGCCCUCCUGUACUCACCUCAGCCGGUUCUUCCUCUUCCCAGUUUCUCACUGUGGGGAAUAUCUAGGAUUCUUGUUGAGGAUGUUCUCUUUGUAUUUGAUUUCUUGCACAGCCACAAUCCCAAGAAGAUUCCCCAGAGGGCAGGGAUUCAAAGGUAAUUCAUAGAGUUUUUUACACAUUUUUUGGAGUUUCCCACCUUUCUGCCAUUCUCAUGCUGUCUCAUGAGAUAUGCAAGCAGAGUUUCAUAUCUAGCUCAUGCUGCUCUUUCCAUUUAUGCUGUUUUUUCCUUGCCACUGCCUCCCCCCACCAUACCGCUAUCCCCCCAUACUUUCCGUCCAGCAUGUCUCUUUACCUGCUCUUUGAGGUUCUUGAUUACAACAGCUAGAACCUAUCAGUUUACUACUACCAUCCAUUAGGUUGUAUUCAAGGCAUCUCCUUUUAUGUGCUUCUGCAAAUUUUAAUUAAAAUAAGUUAUAUUUAUUCUACCUCCUAAAUAGUCUCAACUGUGUCUACUUUUCUCAGAAGUGAGUGCAGGCUGGACCCCCACCCCUUGCUGGAGCCUUCAUGAAAAAUAGCGGUUUGAAGAAUAAGUUAAAGGACAUUGUCAAGAAGGAGUCAAAUUCAAAAGACCACUCUCUGGACAACUGACCCUAUUCUCUUCAACAAAUUAAUGUUACCAAAAAGAGGUUGUUUCAGGAAUCCAAGACAGAGUUAAAACACAUAACCUGGUGUAACCACAUGGUUCCUGGAUUGGAUCCAGGUUGGAGAGUAAUCAGCUCUAAAAGUAUUUUUCCUAGGACAAUUGGGGAACUGUGAAUAUAAGUUUGUAUUAGAUUAAGGAUACAUUGUUAAUUUUAAGCAUUUGUUAUUUUGACAAUGCAGAAAAAUUCUGAUUUUUCAAAGGCAUAUACUAAAAAAAAAAACAAAAACAAAAAAUUAAAACAAGCAACGCUCUUUACUUCCCUGCCCAUUCUCCUGACCUUAAAAUAGGUUGGCACAUUUUCUAUAAAGGACAAAGUAGCACACAUUUUAGGUUUUGCCAUAGUUCUAUGGCAGGUACGCAACUCUACUGCUGUAAUCUGAAAGCAGCCAGAGACACUAUACAUAAACACAAAUGGGCAUGGCUGUGUUGCAAUACAACUUUUUUUUUCAAAAUCAGGCAGCAAGAUACAAGUUGUAGUUUGCCAACCUCUGAUCUAGAACAAUAUACCACGUCCCAACCUCUGAUGUAGAACAAGAUACCAUGUCUCCCGGAAAAGUCUUUCCUGGAACCCAUGGCUUUAUCUUCACUCUGCUCACAUACUGCUUGUGGCAAGAUCCACUUCCCACAUUUAUGAUGUCUUAUUAUAUACUCUGAUGCUGGGAAAGAUUGAAGGCAGGAGGAGGAGGGGACGACAGAAGAUGAGAUGGUUGGAUGGCACCACCAACUCGAUGGACAUGAAUUUGAAAAAGCUCCAGGAGUUGGUGAUGGACGGGGAAGCCUGGCAUGCUGCAGUCCAUGGGGUUGCAGAGUUGGACAUGACUGAGCAACUGAACUGAUUGAACAUUUAUCUCCAUCGGGGAGUAACUUCUGUGAAGGUAGGUGCCAUUUUGCUAUAUGAACCACCAGCCCCAGCCCCACCCUAGUUGAGUUCUUGCAAAAUAGACAUUCAGUGAGUAUUGUUUCCAAAAACCAGGCCUACCCUAAAAGAUUUGGCAUCAUUCAUAACAUUCAAAAGAAUGAGCAGCAGGUUCUAAACAUAAUUUCCGGGUGCCAUCGCCUUCCCCAAACAUUAUUUUAAAGAAACUUAAAAAAAGCACUACUGCUGUCACUAGGGCAUGUAUGUUGCUGCUCGUGGUCUAUGCCAUGAGGUGUUUAUCAGUAUCUUCUAAUCAGAUCUUGUGUAUAUGAAAGUGUAGUAGAUUCCAUGGGCACAGGAGUGUUCUUAUGCUUUUUUUUGCCCCUCUAAAGUGUCUCGAGUACUAUUAGAUUUACAUUAGGUGCACAGUAAAUGCUCAACAAAUUUAAAAUACAGUACUGUGGUAAAAGAUUUUUUUUUCUCAUGAUAGGGAAAGUGGCACUAAACGCCCACAGAAGGGUUUAUCGGGUUUGAUGAUCACAGCAGGCGCAGUCGUUCCAGGUUCCUUUCCUCAUGUUUACUUUUUUGGUUAGGUGGAGGUUUCUCUGCCUGCCAUGGAAUCCCAGAUUCCAAAGCAAAGGUGUUUGUGGGACAAGGGGAAAGGUACUUGCAUAUCGUCUACAGAAAGUGUCCCCAAAUCCCAGAACACCUUGGGAAGACAUGGAUUUGGAGCAAAGGGAAACUCUGAAAAUAACACAGUCCAGAUCACUAGCAAGAGCGCUUCAGCUCUACAGAACAGGAGACAGGAGGGAAGGGCGUAGGAGGGUACACUCCUUCCACACAGACCUCCUAAAACAGAGGUCAGCCCAAAGACAAGAGUUGGUUACAGAGCAAGGAAGAAGUCAUGGAAUUAAGGUAGAGAAAGGCCAAAGCAGAGGAGAACCUCCAGAAGGGGAGUGAUAUGAAUUAAGAAUUGAGAGAGCUGAGUAAAAGAUUUAUUAUUAGUGCAGUCAAUACCAUGAAACAGCACAUGUAUAACACAACCAGCGACCUGCAGAGACACUAGUGCAAAGGGUAGGGAAGCCUUGACUGAGCUUCCUGGCUCCAUCUGAAGGUGAUGACAGGAGGGUGUGGGCCUGGGUAAGGCAGGCAGGGGCAGAGGGGAGUGGAAGAAAUGUAGUAACCAGACUAAGUAUAGCAGCGUUUUCAAAUUCCUGAGCACAACGUCCCGGAGCUGGAACAUAUGACUGUUCCUCACCGCCUUCAAGCUGUGUCCCUCUCCUCCCCACAGUCCCAGUGGAGCCAUGACCCAACUACCAGACCCACAGCAAGCUGGCCUGGGAUAAAACUCCAAGCUGUCCUAUGGCCAUCUUCCUCUAGCCCCUCUCUCACCUGCAUAUUAAGAUAAUCACACCCACUACCCCUCCCCUUCUCUUACUCUGCUGGCCACCCCAGGGAGGAAGGAAUGCCCUGGGCAGCUUGAAAUGGAGCUGAAGCCCAUGGCGGGUAUGGGUGAGACAGCACAGCCUGUACUCAGUGACAGGAUUUCCAUCCCGUCUUGCCUGGUGAAGCUUAGAACCCAGCUAUAUAUCUCCAAGGAAACUGGGUGUUAGGGUAGGGCUGGUGGCGGGUAGGAUUUCUUCAAAAUUAAAUCCAGAGUUUUACCAUGAGACCCUGGAGAGGCUGGGAGCACAGUUCUCUAGGGCACAGUCAGUGAUGCUGGACGGUCACAUCCAUCACUGGAAUAGAGGAAGCGCCUCAUCCUAGACGGGUUAUGGAGGCUUGGGGCAGGCUUCAGUUCAGCCAGGGGCUCCCAUGGCCCUUCCUAUAUUAAAGCCAAAGGUUGUGCUGAAAAGGAAAAAUAUAAAAGACCCCAGCCCUGUCCCACCCUAUCCAAAAAUCCCCACAACAGGAACAGCAAAAGAAAAGUUUUCUGUUUUGUUAAUUUUUUUUUUCUUUUUCCUUUCUUAAAAAAAAAGGUAAAUAAAUUAAAUUGCCAACAAUGUGGCUGGGCUAGAAAAGUGGGGUAGCCAUAAUCAGGCCUUUCUUUAAAAAAAAAUAAAA